rnacentral:rRNA from 1 species
AACGAACGCUGGCGGCAGGCCUAACACAUGCAAGUCGAGCGAGGACUUCGGUCCUAGCGGCGGACGGGUGAGUAACGCGUGGGAACGUGCCCUUUGCUUCGGAAUAGCCCUGGGAAACUGGGAGUAAUACCGGAUGAGCCCUUUGGGGGAAAGAUUUAUCGGCGAAGGAUCGGCCCGCGUUGGAUUAGGUAGUUGGUGGGGUAAUGGCCUACCAAGCCGACGAUCCAUAGCUGGUUUGGGAGGAUGAUCAGCCACACUGGGAAUGAGACACGGCCCAGACUCCUACGGGAGGCAGCAGUGGGGAAUCUUAGACAAUGGGGGAAACCCUGAUCUAGCCAUGCCGCGUGAGCGAUGAAGGCCUUAGGGUUGUAAAGCUCUUUCAGCUGGGAAGAUAAUGACGGUACCAGCAGAAGAAGCCCCGGCUAACUCCGUG